AUUUUGCAUUCUGCGUGCCAUGUAAGGUCUAUACUAUCAGCUGUUGUGUAGGCCUGUUUGUCCGAGUUUCUGAAUCUAGUGCAAGUGAUUUCCUUACAUUUUAAAUUUUGGUUGAAUCUUUUUUUUUUUUUUUUUUGAGAUUUCAGUGCUCGGCAUCGAUCCAUUGCAUCUACACAUUGCAAAUUUCUGUGGUCGUAAAGAUCACAUUAUUUUCGUGAAACUCUUACAUCAUUGACAAGAACUGCAAUGGGCGGCCAGAUCAUCAGCAUUCGGAGCUAUUAGUAUCUACAUAAUGUAAUAGCUGUUGGGAUUGGGUUCGUUCUGCACGACAUGAACGAUCAAAAGUUCCCGUCUGCUCGCAAAAAAUCAAUUCCACGUUGUGAUUCGUUAGUGCAGUCCCUAUCCACAGCCCUGCAGUGUGCAAAAAAAGGCAGUGGAAAAAAUCUGCUUGGGGUUCUGAUCUGCACAAUGGUGACUUCAUGACUACACAGUAUUAAAAGACUGUUCCCCUAAGACAAGUUGGAGCUCUGGAGUUUUUUUUAGAUGACUCUUGUAUUGUAAAUAUAUUCCUGCUUCUUGGAACAAGGACCACAGGAUGUCUUGAUGAGAACCAAAUGUCAUCGGAAAGAUUGUAAAAAGAUGUUUAAGCAGGAGAAACCUAAAGUUGGAGGACGAUACAUUAGUUUCCCGUUACUAGUUUUGUAAAACAAAUGGUAAUUUGGUAAAAUGAAACCACAUGCAACGUUUUACUUUAAAUAAAUUGUUUUCAAAAGUG